rnacentral:rRNA from 1 species
CCUACGGGAGGCAGCAGUGGGGAAUUUUCCGCAAUGGGCGCAAGCCUGACGGAGCAAGACCGCGUGAGGGAGGAAGGCUCUUGGGUUGUAAACCUCUUUUAUCAGGGAAGAAGAUCUGACGGUACCUGAUGAAUCAGCAUCGGCUAACUCCGUGCCAGCAGCCGCGGUAAUACGGAGGAUGCAAGCGUUAUCCGGAUUUAUUGGGCGUAAAGCGUCCGCAGGUGGUUAUUCAAGUCUGCUGUUAAAGCGCGAGGCUUAACUUCGUACAGGCAGUGGAAACUGGAUGACUGGAGUAUGGUAGGGGUAGCGGGAAUUCCCAGUGUAGCGGUGAAAUGCGUAGAUAUUGGGAAGAACACCAGCGGCGAAAGCGCGCUACUGGGCCAUUACUGACACUCAUGGACGAAAGCUAGGGGAGCGAAAGGGAUUAGAUACCCCUGUAGUCCUAGCUGUAAACGAUGGGUACUAGGUGUUGACCGUAUCGACCCGGUCAGUGCCGUAGCUAACGCGUUAAGUACCCCGCCUGGGGAGUAUGCACGCAAGUGUGAAACUCAAAGGAAUUGACGG